ACGGCGAGUGAAGCGGCAACAGCUCAAAUUUGAAAUCUGGCCUUCUUUGGGGGUCCGAGUUGUAAUUUGCAGAGGGCGCUUUGGCGUCGGCAGCGGUCUAAGUUCCUUGGAACAGGACGUCACAGAGGGUGAGAAUCCCGUACGUGGUCGCCUGCCUUCGCCGUGUAAAGCCCCUUCGACGAGUCGAGUUGUUUGGGAAUGCAGCUCUAAAUGGGAGGUAAAUUUCUUCUAAAGCUAAAUACUGGCCAGAGACCGAUAGCGCACAAGUAGAGUGAUCGAAAGAUGAAAAGCACUUUGGAAAGAGAGUCAAACAGCACGUGAAAUUGUUGAAAGGGAAGCGCUUGCCGCCAGACUUGCCCGUGAAGGUUCUCCUCCUCGGGCAGGCCAGCAUCAGUUUGAGCGAUCGGAUAAUGGCCUCUGUCAUGUAUCUUCCUUCGGGAUGACCUUAUAGGGGAGUCGUAGUACGGUCAGCUCGGACUGAGGUCCGCGCAUUUGCUAGGAUGCUGGCGUAAUGGCUGCAAGCGGCCCGUCUUGAAACACGGACCAAGGAGUCUAACAUCUAUGCGAGUGUUUGGGUGUCAAGCCCGAGCGCGCAAUGAAAGUGAACGGAGGUGGGAACCCUCUCUGGGGGUGCACCAUCGACCGAUCCUGAAGUCUUCGGAUGGAUUUGAGUAAGAGCAUGGCUGUUGGGACCCGAAAGAUGGUGAACUAUGCUUGAAUAGGGUGAAGCCAGAGGAAACUCUGGUGGAGGCUCGCAGCGGUUCUGACGUGCAAAUCGAUCGUCAAAUUUGGGCAUAGGGGCGAAAGACUAAUCGAACUAUCUAGUAGCUG
rnacentral:rRNA from 1 species